AUGCAAACUUACUGUAAAAUCCAUUACACAUUCAACUCUCUCCCUCUACCCCCACCCUCUCUAAUCUUUAUCUCUCUCUUUGUAUUGUUAUUCUCUAGUGCACCCAAGCCUGAUCUGCAGUUUGGAUGUAAUCCAAACAAGCUGAUGUCGUUUUGGCCAGUUAUUACUGCUGGUGGACGCCAGCAUAGACUCCAGUCUGAGGCCUACUGGUGAGGACAGAUCCCUGCUGGAGACUGACUCUGUUUGCCUGAAUCACAGCGUGGGUGUCUGUACAUACUAUUGUGUGUCAAUAUGCUUUGUACAUCCCAAUCCCUACAUCACACCAUUUCACAUUAAGAAUACCUUUUGUUUUAAUUUUUAACCAAUUUCACUGCAGUGUCCCGAUAAAAGUCCUAAUGAGAAUUAAGAAGCAUUCAGUUAGUCUUCGUCUUCUUUGUUUGUUGGUCACAUUUAAACCUGAAAUGAAACAUAUCUUUAACUAUGCUGUAGCCUAGUUGUUCUCAAACCUUUUUGGUUCAAGUACCCACUUAUGUCCAACUAAUACAAUUUGCUUUGAAUUCUGUAAAAAAACAAAACAACGCUAAAACAUAAUAAUGGAGCACACAUUUUAAAGAAUCUAACGGUAUAAAUAAGUGGAAUGAAACAGUAUUUCGUGCCUCCUGAAUAUAUUUAUUUCUAUAAUUUUCAUCGUUUCCUAUCAUCGCCCUCCUGAUGUAUUUUCAGUUCAUGUUCUAAUCAAGAUCAUUUCUAUCAUUUUGUGUGUUUUGGUGUAAUUUUGCGUGUUUUGUUUUUGUUUGUUCUUUUUAUUUUUCAGUGUCUCUUAUUUUGUGUGUUUUCGUUGUCGUUUUUUGUGUUGUUGGUAUUAUUUAGAUAAUUCUCUCAGUGUGCGUGUGUUUUUGGUGUUGUUUGGUUGUUUCUUAUGUAGUUUUGUAUGUUUCUCUGUUAUUUGUGUAUUUUGUAGUGAUCUUGUGCAUUUUUCUCUCAUUUACGGUUUUUGUUGUCAUUUUGUGAGUUGCUGGUAAUGUAAGUUUUAACUAAAAAUAAACAUGAUAAAACCUCAUAUUUUUAAUGAUUU
rnacentral:lncRNA from 1 species